rnacentral:snRNA from 1 species
AUGAGUUUCACCAACUUUAGCC